AUACGGAGGGUGCAAACGUUGUUCGGAAUUACUGGGCGUAAAGCGCACGUAGGCGGUUUGUUAAGUCAGAUGUGAAAGUCCACAGCUCAACUGUGGAAGUGCAUUUGAAACUGGCAGACUUGAGUACUGGAGGGGGUGGUGGAAUUCCCGGUGUAGAGGUGAAAUUCGUAGAUAUCGGGAGGAAUACCGGUGGCGAAGGCGACCACCUGGCCAGAUACUGACGCUGAGGUGCGAAAGCGUGGGGAGCAAACAGGAUUAGAUACCCUAGUAGUCC
rnacentral:rRNA from 1 species